UGUGGGGGUACGGCCUACNNGNCGACGACGGGUAGCCGGCUCUGAAAGGCGACCGGCCACACUGGGACUGAGACACGGCCCAGACUCCUACGGGAGGCAGCAGUGGGGAAUAUUGCGCAAUGGGCGGAAGCCUGACGCAGCGACGCCGCGUGGGGGAUGAAGGCCUUCGGGUUGUAAACCCCUUUCAGCAGGGACGAAGCGGAAGUGACGGUACCUGCAGAAGAAGCGCCGGCUAACUACGUGCCAGCAGCCGCGGUAACACGUAGGGCGCAAGCGUUGUCCGGAAUUAUUGGGCGUAAAGAGCUCGUAGGUGGUCUGUUGCGUCCGCUGUGAAAUCUCAGGGCUUAACCCUGAGCCUGCAGUGGAUACGGGCAGACUAGAGGUAGGUAGGGGAGAAUGGAAUUCCUGGUGUAGCGGUGAAAUGCGCAGAUAUCAGGAGGAACACCGGUGGCGAAGGCGGUUCUCUGGGCCUUACCUGANACUGANGAGCGAAAGCGUGGGGAGCGAACAGGAUUAGAUACCCUGGUAGUCCACGCCGUAAACGUUGNGCGCUAGGUGUGGGAUCCUUCCACGGAUUCCNUGCCGCANNUNACGCAUUAAGCGCCC
rnacentral:rRNA from 1 species